CCUACGGGAGGCAGCAGUGGGGAAUAUUGCACAAUGGGGGAAACCCUGAUGCAGCGACGCCGCGUGAGUGAAGAAGUAUUUCGGUAUGUAAAGCUCUAUCAGCAGGGAAGAAGAAAGACGGUACCUGACUAAGAAGCCCCGGCUAACUACGUGCCAGCAGCCGCGGGAAUACGUAGGGGGCAAGCGUUACUCGGAUUUACGGGGUGUAAAGGGAGCGUAGACGGUAUGGCAAGUCUGAAGUGAAAGCCCAGGGCUUAACCCUGGGACUGCAUUGGAAACUGUUAGACUAGAGUGCUGGAGAGGGAAGUGGAAUUCCUAGAGUAGCGGUGAAAUGCGUAGAUAUUAGGAGGAACACCAGUGGCGAAGGCGGCUUACUGGACAGUAACUGACGUUGAGGCUCGAAAGCGUGGGGAGCAAACAGGAUUAGAUACCCCAGUAGUC
rnacentral:rRNA from 1 species